rnacentral:snRNA from 1 species
UCAUUUUGGCAGUGCAUAUACUAAAGUUGAAAUAAUACAGAGAAAAUUAGCAUGGCCCCUAUGCAAGGAUGACAGGCAAAUUCAUGAAGCAUUCCAUAUUUUU